AAAAACAUGUCAUUACUUUUUAUUCUUUUAUCGAUCAACAUUGAAGUACUUCCACAACAACUCAGACAUCACAACUACAUAUAACUAAAAAUACAGAAGAUGGAUAUAUAUUUUAAAACGAUAUAGCUUGGAAUGACGAGCGAUAUACCAUUGGCGGAUUCGUGCAGCCUGUCGGCGGCCAGGCCGUCAGUAUGGACCUGUUAGAAAAAUACUGUUUUUUGUAGUGAAACUAAGUAGUCUUUCUCGCAUUUUAAAUAACUAGGUAGCAUGAUCGAUUAAUUAAGAUCACAAUAAAGAAGACAAGGAUCAAAAUAUGUGCGAUCAAGAUGAGGAAAGUGGAGGAGAUGACGAAGGUUGAGAUGAAAAUGGCGAUGUAGGGAUGUUGGAGAGAGAUCUAGUCGGAAGUCAUGAUGGAGGAAAAGGUGAAGGUUGAAGGUGAUUGGUAACUGGUAAGUGGCACAUGUAUGUUAACAUUUACUUUUGCAAUUUGAAUUAUUACGACGACACCUGCGUCUACAUCGAUGUCUAAAUAUUGUACAAUGCCGCUUGCAUAUUCUAUAAUCCUUGUGGCAUCUUUCGAUCGAUGCAAUCAUAAUAAGGAGGAGGUGAAUGUGGUGGGUGGGGUAGUGAAGGGUGGAGGAGGCGAUGGAGGAGGAGGCGCUCGAAGGUGGGGUAGGCGAUUCUAAUUAUUUCAUCCAAGUGUUUUGUUUUUCUUUUAAUCAUACCAACAAUGCUAAUGGAUAGAAAGAAACAAAAUAUAUAUGUCAAGUUGCAUUAGUACUUCUUAUUCUUUUAUCAACAUUGAAGUAAUUCGACAACAACUCAAACAUCACACAUACAUAAACAAGAUAUAAAAUGACGAUCGAUCAUCUAGACAUUAAUUUGUGUAAAAUUCAGCAAGAUAGACAAACUAGCUAGGUAUGUAGUCAUUCUCGCAUUUUAAAUAACUAGCAUGAUCGAUUUAAACCACAAUAAAGAAGACAUGCAUGCAUGCAUGCAUGCGACCUAGGAGGUGAAAGUGGAAGAGAUGAAGGAGGAUGAGGUGAAAAUGGAUGCGACGGAGGGGAGAGGCUACGAAGAUGGUGGAGAUCGAGUGAUCAUUUAGGUGGAAGUGAUGGAGGGGAUCGAAGGUGAAGGUGGAAGUUGAUUGGGAAGUAAUACGUAAAAGAUUAAAGGCAUUUUUUUUUACAACUGGAAAACUUACGACGACACCUGCGUAAACAUCUAGGAAUAAAGAAACAACGAAUCUUGCAUCUAUUAUAAAUCUUUUUGCAAGCUUUGUGGCAAUCAUUAUUAUAUGGAGGAGGUGGUGAUGGAGGGGGAGGUGGUGGGGGAGGAGGUGAUGGAGGAGGUGGUGAUGGAGGGGGAGGUGGUGGGGGAGGAGGUGAAGGGGGGGGGGGAGGAGGCAGUUUAAUUAAUUUAUAACACUCAUAAAUACAAUGAUAAGUAAUCCCUCCACAAUCUACAAUGCAUUUUGUAAAGUCACAUUGGCAUACAUCGCAGAGAUUAUUAUCUUGAGCACUUUCGACACUUGAUAUAAUUGAAAAAGAUAGAACUAAGACGACUACAACAAGCAAUGUUUUCAUGAUAACUUGAUAUAUAAAUGUCUGAUCAACAAUCUCCUCCUUUUAUACACACAUUCU
rnacentral:lncRNA from 1 species